rnacentral:rRNA from 1 species
GAUGACGACCGGCGCACGGGUGCGCACCGCGUAUGGAACCUACCUUUUACAGGGGAAUAGCCUUUGGAAACGAAGAUUAAUGCCCCAUAGUACCUUUUGUAGCAUUACAAGAUGGUUAAAGCCUUCGGGCGGUAUAAGAUGGCCAUGCGUCCCAUUAGUUAGUUGGUAAGGUAACGGCUUACCAAGACAGCGAUGGGUAGGGGCCCUGAGAGGGGGAUCCCCCACACUGGUACUGAGACACGGACCAGACUCCUACGGGAGGCAGCAGUGAGGAAUAUUGGACAAUGGAGGAGACUCUGAUCCAGCCAUGCCGCGUGCAGGAAGAAUGCCCUAUGGGUAGUAAACUGCUUUUAUACGGGAAGAAAAAGGGCUACGUGUAGCUUACUGACGGUACCGUAAGAAUAAGGACCGGCUAACUCCGUGCCAGCAGCCGCGGUAAUACGGAGGGUCCGAGCGUUAUCCGGAAUUAUUGGGUUUAAAGGGUCCGUAGGCGGGCGAUUAAGUCAGUGGUGAAAGUCUGCAGCUCAACUGUAGAAUUGCCUUUGAUACUGAUCGUCUUGAGUUAUAGUGAAGUUGCCGGAAUAUGUAGUGUAGCGGUGAAAUGCAUAGAUAUUACAUAGAACACCGAUUGCGAAGGCAGGUGACUAACUGUAUACUGACGCUGAUGGACGAAAGCGUGGGGAGCGAACAGGAUUAGAUACCCUGGUAGUCCACGCCGUAAACGAUGGAUACUAGCUGUCCGGGACCUUGAGUUCUGGGCGGCCAAGCGAAAGUGAUAAGUAUCCCACCUGGGGAGUACGUUCGCAAGAAUGAAACUCAAAGGAAUUGACGGGGGCCCGCACAAGCGGUGGAGCAUGUGGUUUAAUUCGAUGAUACGCGAGGAACCUUACCAGGGCUUAAAUGCAUAUUGACAGGUCUAGAGAUAGACUUUCCUUCGGGCAAUUUGCA